ACGGAAGGCAGCAGUGGGGAAUAUUGCACAAUGGGGGAAACCCUGAUGCAGCGACGCCGCGUGAGUGAAGAAGUUAUUCGUAACGUAAAGCUCUAUCAGCAGGGAAGAAAAUGACGGUACCUGACUAAGAAGCCCCGGCUAACUACGUGCCAGCAGCCGCGGUAAUACGUAGGGGGCAAGCGUUAUCCGGAUUUACUGGGUGUAAAGGGAGCGUAGACGGUCUAGCAAGUCUGAUGUGAAAGGCAGGGGCUCAACUCCUGGACUGCAUUGGAAACUGUUAGUCUUGAGUGUCGGAGAGGUAAGCGGAAUUCCUAGUGUAGCGGUGAAAUGCGUAGAUAUUAGGAGGAACACCAGUGGCGAAGGCGGCUUACUGGACGAUAACUGACGUUGAGGCUCGAAAGCGUGGGGAGCAAACAGGAUUAGAUACCCUGGUA
rnacentral:rRNA from 1 species